rnacentral:lncRNA from 1 species
AUAACAGGAGGCUUUAUUGGACAGAAUCACAAUAUAUACUCCCCCCCCCCGUAUUAACUAUUGAUUCUAUCAUAAAAAUAUAUUACAACAUUUGAUAUGUAUUCACAAAACACAAGCCAUUGUAAACAGAGCAGGCAACAUUGGCCUUGGAUUCAAAAAUCUUGAGUCUUGUUGCAACAGAAAAACAGUGUUGGCAAGUGUAUUACAUGAAAGGUAAUAUUGCCACAUUGGAAGGGCUUCUAGUGUGUGUGUGUGUGUGUGUGUGUGUGUGUGUGUGUUUAGUGGAGCUAUAUUUCUGUUUAAUAAAUUAGGAGAAAAUAAAGUUAAAGCUACGAUGUUAACAAACAUUAGAGGCUGCUAAAAUUUUGCUUCAUUUUUUUUUAUAGUUAGUAUGCAGCUGCUUCAGUUUGUGAACAUUCACCCAUAUGCAUAAACUCAAGGGCGCACAGAAUCACGGCGCACGUGUUCACGGGCACAUUUGCUCCAACAUAAACAUACCCAUUUUCCUAUGGGUCUGACAUUGGGAUAGAACAUUGUACAGGAGCCAACCGUUUGCAGAUCACUUUGUCUCUGGGAAUGAAAUAUCUUUUAUUUUUCUAAAUCCUGGUUUCUAAAAAUAUUUUUUCUAGUGUCCAAAUAGAAAGUACAUUUCCCCAUGGAACCCUACACUAGGUGGCACAUUCCUUACGUUUCUUUAAUGUGGGCUCCCUUUUGUCGUCUACUGGUCUGUUCUCUGGGUGUCCCAAGCUAUGGAUGGUGUAACUCCCCCAACCCCUCUUUGCACAGACACACACAAAAAAAAUAAUGAAAUCUAUGAAAACUCAAGGUAGCCAAAGGAUUUGACUUUGGUGCUCUCAUUAUGUGGAGCUUCUGUGAGUUCUAAGGGUAAAAUCUAACUAGUCUCCUCAAACUUAGGAGAAGUGAUGGUUCUCUCAGUGGGUACUGAGCAGGGGAAAGCCUCUGUAUGGGAGACAGGCAUGCUCCAUUAGGGAGGAUGAAUGGGGGGGUGGUGACUCACCACAGGACACCACAACAGAGGGAUGGAUUGAGGUCCUCCUAGGAGCUGUUUCACCAAAAUGGAUAACAUAUGUCCAAAUGGCAAGGGUCUGAAUCUCUUCUCCCAAAUGAGCCUACAAAUGUAAAGAUGGGCCUAUUCCAAGGUUUAGAAAAAUGCCCCAUGUGGUAAUGAGGAUAAGGCAAGGCACCUUGAUGACAUGUCACUGGACUUCCAACGCUGUUUGUGACCUGCGAUUAACAAGUUUCCCCUCCGGGAAACCCUGAUGGGCUUGGCGAGACACCAUCCUCAUUAAACGUCCCUCAAAUGUUCCAGAAGAGGUUAUAUUUACAUGCUUGUUGUAAAACAGAAUUGUUGAGGUUUGGAAUGAUUUCAGUUUGCAGGGGAACUUGGCAUUUAAAGGCUUUUAGAGCAUGGGGUUUGGUUACAAGUAAUUCAAGCAAGGAUUUGGUAUUAAAUGGCAUAAAGGCCAAGGCAAAAGCAGGCUGAGUGUUUGGUAUCUUAACCAGGCACGAGCCAUCACUUUGCUCUGGUCAUCAGGAAAUGGACUGGCUUGGGCGAACCAAUCAAUGGUGUGCCAUGUGAAGGCAUCUGAUGCUCUCCCAAACGCAUUCCCUCUGGACAGUAGUGAGUAUGACAGAGGCCAGGGCCUUGAUGGUGAUGAUCUGACUCUCACAACUCAGAGUGGGCUUCUGUGUCCAAAUACAGAUUUCAGGUUCUUUGAAACUAUCGAAACAUGGACUUUAGAUUCUCCUGAAUACGUCCAACAGCUCUUCUGCACCAGGGGAGAAGUAGGAUACUGAUGACAGAGCCAUGGGCCCGUGGGAGAAAGGACACCGGAAAUGCCACUAGAGUCUGCCUUCCUAAGAGCACGAGCGUUCCCAAAGGCAUCCACGGUCUUUUGAGUCAACGGCCUAAAUUAUUUUAAACAUCCUUAAAUAUGGGUAUACGUGAUAAACUACAGCACUGCUAGGAUUGAUGAGAUUCAUAAUGUUUGACCUUUAAAUGCCAGAGACGUCUCUGCAUGACACACUGCGAGAGCGAAUUGUACAAAGCCCGGUGACAGUGUGGGUGUGAAGGGAGAGUGGCUGAACUGCUACACAACAUGAGGACAACUUUCGCAAACGUGGUUGUUUUUGUUGUGCUAAUUCUUCCGGUUGUCGCAGGGGGCUUUGUGGCGGUGCCCUUUAGGGCCCUGCAUUGACACCGAAUGUGUACACUCACUGUUGUAGAUAGACUUUUGUUACCAAUCAUGUAUAUCGUCAGGGAUGUGCCCUGGUCAAGUGGCCAAAUGUGGUUGGUUUCUGAAGAAUGAAUUCCACUCUCUUCCUUCACACUGCUAAAUGUAGCUGCCCU